rnacentral:rRNA from 1 species
UACGUAGGGGGCUAGCGUUGUCCGGAUUUAUUGGGCGUAAAGAGCGUGUAGGCGGCUAGGUAGGUCCGUUGUGAAAACUCGAGGCUCAACCUCGAGACGUCGGCGGAAACCAUCUGGCUUGAGUCCGGAAGGGGCGAGUGGAAUUCCUGGUGUAGCGGUGAAAUGCGUAGAUAUCUGGAGGAACACCGGUGGCGAAGGCGGCAUCCUGGACCGGUAUUGACGCUGAGGCGCGAAAGCUAGGGGAGCAAACGGGG